GAAAAACUUAGUUUUAUUAUAAAACAUUAACUUGUCAAGUUAAAAAUAUCUGCGCCCCGUUAGUUUUUAA
rnacentral:tRNA from 1 species